UUAUGCUCGCAUUAGAGCUCUACUUACUUUUAGGUUUAAAUCAGUAAUACCUUCGUUGUGUUUUAUAUUCAAAAAUAAAUCUCAUAAGGUCAUCUUAACAAAGACCAGAAUCUAAUCCUUAAUUAAUAUUAAGAGUAAAUUGUAACUUUAAAAGAACGUUCGUUCAUCCUGACCUUACUAGCAUCGCUGCAAAUCGAUGUCCCUUUUUAUGGUUCUAAGGAAUUGAAUGUUGAAACAUACAAAACUUUAUAUCUACUUAAUAAUUGUUCGCCUUAAGUGAAUCCAUAAAGUCAAAGAGUUUUUUAUAUUGGACGUUAGAUUUCUUUUUUUUAAUAUUAGACGUCACAUUAUGGCAGAUACUGUAUUUUGUAGUACCCCAAUUGUCAGAAUUAAUUAUUUAUUACAAACUCAUUUGAUCUUUGAUUAUUGCAUAGAUUUCAUUUAGUUUUUGACUGAAAAUUUUAUUUACUAUGGAACUGUAUUUUUUUUAUUAUUUAGAAAUAUUUAUCUGCUAAAAGCUUUCAUAAACUGAUUUAUUUUUCUUUUACUUCUGUUUGCAGUUUUAAAUCACACUUCUCCAAAUAUGAGAAUUAAAUUCACCUUGCUUUUCAUACAGUAACCAACCAAGUAUAUUUUCAAUCGAUUCAUAUUUUGACCCUAUUUUAAUAAAAAUAAGUAUUAAUGAAUAAUAUUCCAAUUAUUUUUAAUACUAAAGAUAUUUCGUUUUUAUUUUUAAUUAUUUUUUUUUAUUUACUAUUUCUACUGAAAAGUUUAGAUUCAAUUAGACCACCAAUCAGAACCCAGUUGAAGAGGAUCGGGCCAGCUCAUAAUCCCCUGCAACCAACGAUCCUCAAUGAUCAUUAUCAAAGCCAAACAUUAAUUAAUUAAUAUGGGUUGCAGCAUUGUAACCCUGUGCUUUUACUGAUACGUGUUACUAAAAGUAUAAGAACAUUUAGUUCUAAUUUUUUAUACCUUCCUGUAAAAUUUAAAAUUAAUUAAAACUGAAACUUUUGUUAAAACUGGAGAUGUUUUUUUUAUACAGUCUUAAAUAUUAAAUAUCAAUUUACUAAUAAUAGUCAACUUCAUGAAAGACUGGUAU